AGAGAAUAGAUACCCUGGUAGUCCACGCUGUAAACGAUGAUUACUAGGUGUGGGGGGACUGACCCCUUCCGUGCCGGAGCAAAAACGCAAUAAGUAAUCCACCUGGGGAGUACGGCCGCAAGGUUGAAACUCAAAGGAAUUGACGGGGGCCCGCACAAGCAGUGGAGUAUGUGGUUUAAUUCGAAGCAACGCGAAGAACCUUACCAGGUCUUGACAUCGAGUGAAGUCAUAAGAGAUUAUGACGUCCUACGGGACACAAAGACAGGUGGUGCAUGGUUGUCGUCAGCUCGUGUCGUGAGAUGUUGGGUUAAGUCCCGCAACGAGCGCAACCCUUAUCAAUAGUUGCUACGCAAGAGCACUCUAUUGAGACUGCCGUUGACAAAACGGAGGAAGGUGGGGAUGACGUCAAAUCAUCAUGCCCCUUAUGACCUGGGCUACACACGUACUACAAUGGCAAUUAACAGAGGGAAGCAAAGCAGCGAUGCAGAGCGAAA
rnacentral:rRNA from 1 species